UAGUGGCAACUUGCGUUUGAAGGGUCCACUUUGAAGGUGAUGAACUGGAUCUUACGGAUGGCGGUCAAGCUAGAUGUCGAAGAACUGAACACUCACUUUUGAGCUUCCGCGUUAAAUUAACUUUGAUAAACAAUGUUUUGGAAUGUAAACUCUUGUUAAACAACGUAUGAAUUUCUGAAUUUAUCAGUGGUUGACUAA